rnacentral:rRNA from 1 species
AGUGAACGCUGGCGGUAGGCCUAACACAUGCAAGUCGAACGGCAGCACAGUAAGAGCUUGCUCUUACGGGUGGCGAGUGGCGGACGGGUGAGGAAUACAUCGGAAUCUACUUUUUCGUGGGGGAUAACGUAGGGAAACUUACUCUAAUACCGCAUACGCCCUACGGUUGAAAGCAGUGGAUCUUCGGACCUUGCGCGAUUGAAUGAGCCGAUGUCGGAUUAGCUAGUUGGCGGGGUAAAGGCCCACCAAGGCGACGCUCCGUAGCUGGUCUGAGAGGAUGAUCAGCCACACUGGAACUGAGAAACGGUCCAGACUCCUACGGGAGGGAGCAGUGGGGAAUAUUGGACAAUGGGCGAAAGCAUGAUACAGCCAUACCGCGUGGGUGAAGAAGGACUUCGGGUUGUAAAGACCUUUUGUUGGGAAAGAAAAGCAGCAGGUUAAGACCACGCUGUUCUGACGGUACCCAAAGAAUAAGCACCGGCUAACUUCGUG